rnacentral:rRNA from 1 species
ACAGAGGGGGCAAGCGUUGUUCGGAUUUACUGGGUGUAAAGGGUGCGUAGGCUGUCUUGUAAGUUAGAUGUGAAAUCUCAAGGCUUAACCUUGAAACUGCAUUUAAUACUGCUCGACUAGAGUACGAAAGAGGGAGAUGGAAUUCUCGGUGUAAGAGUGAAAUCUGCAGAUAUCGAGAGGAACACCAGUAGCGAAGGCGAUCUCCUGGGUCGAUACUGACGCUGAGUGCACGAAAGCUAGGGGAGCAAACGG